AUGGCCUGGACCCCUGUCCUCCUUGUGCUCCUCUGUCACUGCACAGUCUCCCUGUCCCAGCUUGUGCUGACCCAGCCGCCCUCCCUCUCUGCAUCCCUGGGAUCAACAACCAGACUCACCUGCACCCUGAGCAGUGGCUUCAGUGUUGGUGGCUAUAGCAUAUACUGGCACCAGCAGAAGCCAGGGAGCACUCCCUGGUACCUCCUGUACUACUACUCAAGUACAGAGUUGGGACCUGGGGUCCCCAGCUGCUUCUCUGGAUCCAAAGACACCUCAGCCAAUGUAGGGCUCCUGCUCAUCUCAGGGCUGCAGCCUGAGGAUGAGACUGACUACUACUGUGCUAUAGGUCACGGCAGUGGGAGCAGCUACACUUACCCACAGUGUCUCAGAUAACGAGGAGGUGAGAUUAAAACCCCUAGGCCAUUGUCUUUGGUCCUCCUCAUCUAGAAGCUUCUUUGGAGCUUCCAAUCCAGUGUAUGACACUGAUGCUAAGCUCAGUG